UACGGAGGGUGCGAGCGUUGUCCGGAAUCACUGGGCGUAAAGGGCGCGUAGGCGGCCUGAUAAGUAGGGGGUGAAAUCCUGCGGCUUAACCGCAGGGCUGCCUUCUAAACUGUCAGGCUAGAGCACAGUAGAGGCAGGUGGAAUUCCCGGUGUAGCGGUGGAAUGCGUAGAGAUCGGGAAGAACACCAGUGGCGAAGGCGGCUCACUGGUCCGGUACUGACGCUGAGGUGCGAAAGCGUGGGGAGCAAACAGG
rnacentral:rRNA from 1 species